AGCUGAUGAGAGUCGCAGAUACCAGGUGGCUGCAACUGUUUAUUAAAAACACAGCACUGUGCAAAAUCGUAAGAUGACGUAUACGGUGUGACGCCUGCCCGGUGCCGGAAGGUUAAUUGAUGGGGUUAGCGUAAGCGAAGCUCUUGAUCGAAGCCCCGGUAAACGGCGGCCGUAACUAUAACGGUCCUAAGGUAGCGAAAUUCCUUGUCGGGUAAGUUCCGACCUGCACGAAUGGCGUAAUGAUGGCCACGCUGUCUCCACCCGAGACUCAGUGAAAUUGAAAUCGCUGUGAAGAUGCAGUGUACCCGCGGCUAGACGGAAAGACCCCGUGAACCUUUACUACAGCUUGGCACUGAACAUUGAACCUACAUGUGUAGGAUAGGUGGGAGGCUUUGAAGACGUGACGCUAGUUGCGUUGGAGCCGUCCUUGAAAUACCACCCUUGUAUGUUUGAUGUUCUAACUUAGCCCCGUUAUCCGGGGUGAGGACAGUGCCUGGUGGGUAGUUUGACUGGGGCGGUCUCCUCCCAAAGAGUAACGGAGGAGCACGAAGGUGGGCUAAUCACGGUUGGACAUCGUGAGGUUAGUGCAAUGGCAUAAGCCCGCUUAACUGCGAGAAUGACGGUUCGAGCAGGUGCGAAAGCAGGUCAUAGUGAUCCGGUGGUUCUGUAUGGAAGGGCCAUCGCUCAACGGAUAAAAGGUACUCCGGGGAUAACAGGCUGAUACCGCCCAAGAGUUCAUAUCGACGGCGGUGUUUGGCACCUCGAUGUCGGCUCAUCACAUCCUGGGGCUGAAGUCGGUCCCAAGGGUAUGGCUGUUCGCCAUUUAAAGUGGUACGCGAGCUGGGUUUAGAACGUCGUGAGACAGUUCGGUCCCUAUCUGCCGUGGGCGUUGGAAGAUUGAAGGGGGCUGCUCCUAGUACGAGAGGACCGGAGUGGACGAACCUCUGGUGUUCGGGUUGUGUCGCCAGACGCAUUGCCCGGUAGCUAAGUUCGGAAUCGAUAACCGCUGAAAGCAUCUAAGCGGGAAGCGAGCCCUGAGAUGAGUCUUCCCUGACAGUUUAACUGUCCUAAAGGGUUGUUCGAGACUAGAACGUUGAUAGGCAGGGUGUGUAAGCGUUGUGAGGCGUUGAGCUAACCUGUACUAAUUGCCCGUGAGGCUUAACCAU
rnacentral:rRNA from 1 species